rnacentral:rRNA from 1 species
UACGUAGGGGGCUAGCGUUGUCCGGAAUCAUUGGGCGUAAUGCGCGUGUAGGCGGUCCGGUAAGUCCGCUGUGAAAGUCGGGGGCUCAACCCUCGGAUGCCGGUGGAUACUGUCGGGCUUGAGUACGGAAGAGGCGAGUGGAAUUCCUGGUGUAGCGGUGAAAUGCGCAGAUAUCAGGAGGAACACCAAUUGCGAAGGCAGCUCGCUGGGACGUUACUGACACUGAGGCGCGACAGCGUGGGGAGCAAACAGG